rnacentral:rRNA from 1 species
GACGAACGCUGGCGGCGUGCUUAACACAUGCAAGUCGAACGGAAAGGCCCGGCUUUUGUGGGGUGCUCGAGUGGCGAACGGGUGAGUAACACGUGAGUAACCUGCCCUUGACUUUGGGAUAACUUCAGGAAACUGGGGCUAAUACCGGAUAGGAGCUCCUGCUGCAUGGUGGGGGUUGGAAAGUUUCGGCGGUUGGGGAUGGACUCGCGGCUUAUCAGCUUGUUGGUGGGGUAGUGGCUUACCAAGGCUUUGACGGGUAGCCGGCCUGAGAGGGUGACCGGCCACAUUGGGACUGAGAGACGGGCCAGACUCCUACGGGAGGCAGCAGUGGGGAAUAUUGCACAAUGGGCGGAAGCGUGAUGCAGCAACGCCGCGUGCGGGAUGACGGCCUUCGGGUUGUAAACCGCUUUCGCCUGUGACGAAGCGGGAGUGACGGUAAUGGGUAAAGAAGCACCGGCUAACUACGUG